rnacentral:rRNA from 1 species
UGGCGGACGGGUGAGUAACGCGUGGGUAACCUGCCUCACACAGGGGGGAUAACAGUUGGAAACGACCGCUAAUACCGCAUAACCCGCUGGUAUCGCAUGAUACUGACGGAAAAGAUUUAUCGGUGUGAGAUGGACCCGCGUCUGAUUAGCCAGUUGGCAGGGUAACGGCCUACCAAAGCGACGAUCAGUAGCCGGCCUGAGAGGGUGAACGGCCACAUUGGGACUGAGACACGGCCCAAACUCCUACGGAAGGCAGCAG